rnacentral:rRNA from 1 species
UGGGGAAUAUUGCACAAUGGGGGGAAACCCUGAUGCAGCAACGCCGCGUGAGUGAAGAAGUAUUUCGGUAUGUAAAGCUCUAUCAGCAGGGAAGAAAAUGACGGUACCUGACUAAGAAGCCCCGGCUAACUACGUGCCAGCAGCCGCGGUAAUACGUAGGGGGCAAGCGUUAUCCGGAUUUACUGGGUGUAAAGGGAGCGCAGGCGGUCUGGCAAGUCUGAUGUGAAACCCGGGCUCAACCCCGGGACUGCAUUGGAAACUGUCAGACUAGAGUGUCGGAGAGGUAAGUGGAAUUCCUAGUGUAGCGGUGAAAUGCGUAGAUAUUAGGAGGAACACCAGUG